AUGGGGGAAAGCAUGAUCCAGCCAUGCCGCGUGAGUGAAGAAGGCCUUCGGGUUGUAAAGCUCUUUCAGCCGGAACGAAAUAGUUACAGCUAAUACCUGUGACUUCUGACGGUACCGGAAGAAGAAGCACCGGCUAACUACGUGCCAGCAGCCGCGGUAAUACGUAGGGUGCGAGCGUUAAUCGGAAUUACUGGGCGUAAAGCGUGCGCAGGCGGUUUUGUAAGUCAGAUGUGAAAUCCCCGGGCUUAACCUGGGAACUGCGUUUGAAACUACAAAGCUAGAGUACGGCAGAGGGGGGUGGAAUUCCGCGUGUAGCAGUGAAAUGCGUAGAUAUGCGGAGGAACACCGAUGGCGAAGGCAUCCCCCUGCGCUAGCACUGACGCUCAUGCACGAAAGC
rnacentral:rRNA from 1 species